AUUGAACGCUGGCGGCAGGCCUAACACAUGCAAGUCGAGCGGAUGAAGGGAGCUUGCUCCUGGAUUCAGCGGCGGACGGGUGAGUAAUGCCUAGGAAUCUGCCUGGUAGUGGGGGAUAACGUCCGGAAACGGGCGCUAAUACCGCAUACGUCCUGAGGGAGAAAGUGGGGGAGCUUCGGACCUCACGCUACCAGAUGAGCCUAGGUCGGAUUAGCUAGUUGGUGGGGUAAAGGCCUACCAAGGCGACGAUCCGUAACUGGUCUGAGAGGAUGAUCAGUCACACUGGAACUGAGACACGGUCCAGACUCCUACGGGAGGCAGCAGUGGGGAAUAUUGGACAAUGGGCGAAAGCCUGAUCCAGCCAUGCCGCGUGUGUGAAGAAGGUCUUCUGAUUGUAAAGCACUUUAAGUUGGGAGGAAGGGCAGUAAGUUAAUACCUUGCUGUUUUGACGUUACCAACAGAAUAAGCACCGGCUAACCUCGUG
rnacentral:rRNA from 1 species